AACAGCCCCCACCCUCUCAUUCCUUCCAACGUCCUAUCUCUCUCACUCCUCUCAAGAAAAAAAUCAAGAAGUCCCCCCAUCUUCUACUUCUAAGGUUUUGGUUCUAGGGUUCAAUCAAGUUCUUGGAAUAAGAUUCAAUCUCAAAUCCAUCUCUCACCCAAUUGUUUGAAGCUCUCUCAAUCCAUGGUUUAAACCUAAAAGAGGAAUUCUUUGUGUAAAUAAUAUAUGUGCAUAUACAAUACUUGGGAUUUGGUGAUCAAGCGAAGGAUACAAGAGAUACAAGUUGAUGUUUAGUUGAAGUGCAAAGGAAGGUGAUGAAGUAUGAUAACUUAUAGGUGCAAUGUUUUGUGCAAGUUUGGGCUUCAUGGAAUCGUUUUGCAUAUAGAAAGGAAGUAGAAAGAAGACUUAUAUUUUUGGGCAUGUUUUGUACUUGUUUCCCUUAUGAUCAAGGAUGUAUAUAAUUUUUGCAAAGUGAUGUACGUAAGCUAUGUAAUUUAGGGAAGGCUAUGGAUAUUCAUGCUAAUGUAAUUAUGAUAUCAUGAAAGUUAUCAAUGUAUGGAUGCUCUAGACCAAAUGGGUUGUGCUCAUUUUGCUUAAACUUGUUUAUGGUUACUUUUAUCAAUAGACCUCAUAAAUUUAAGUGAA